UACGUCCCAAAUCUGUUCCUUCCCUAAUACACCCGAUCCCGUAAUAGCUAAUACCCCCUCCAGCACCGAUUUGAGAAUCCUUACCCAUUUCUUAUUUUCGUUUCUUUUUUUGCCCUCAUAGAUUUCUGCUUCUUCUUCCAUCGGUAUUGCUCUGUUCUCAUUUCUUCUGCUUUCAUAACAAAUCCUCAACAUUGUCUUCAUCGGAGGCCGAUUUCAGUAUUUCUUGUAGUUUUUCUCUCUUAGAAAUUGAAACAGAGAGUUUAGGAUUUUGAGAGGUUUGGAUUCUGGUGGAAGAGUUUCUUAUUUCUUGUUGUUUCUUCCUUUUUCCUGGAUCGUGCUUCUCGAUCAACCAGAGGGAGAAGGUGGGGAAGAGAGGACAAUUGCUUUCAUGAGAAGACUGGGACGUGCAAAUUCUAAAACUCCACUAUUGGGACACAGUUGUGAAAAAGGAACUAUUAAGCACUCAUUUCCUAUGAAAUAUGUCCUAAAACCAUGGAAACUUGGUCGAUGGUUUUACCAAGUUGUCAAGUUCAGCAUUGUUCAAUAUAUGAUAAUCAAGAUAUUGGCUGCUCUUUUAGCAGUAAUUCUUGAAGCUUUUGGUAUGUAUUGUGAAGGAGAAUUCAACUGGGAAUGUGGAACUCAUCGCUAUGGCUGGGUAUUUGAACAAAUAUGGUCUCAUCUCAUGGUUUAGUCAAACCGUUGUUAAGGUCGUAGGUGGAUUAGGUCUUUCAUGGCAAAUGUCAUUUGGCAUUCUGGUUCUUCUCUAUUUCUACUCGCAUUACUUCUUUGCCAGUGGAGCUGCUCAUAUUGGUGCCAUGUUUACAGCCUUCUUGUCUGUGGCUACUGCUUUGGGCACUCCAUCGUAUUAGGGAGCCCUUGUUCUAUCAUUCCUCUCCAACCUAAUGGGAGGCAUUACUCAUUAUGGAAUUGGAUCCGCACCUGUAUUCUAUAGGGCGGGCUAUGUACCACUAGCAAAAUGGUGGGGAUAUGGUUUCCUGAUAUCGGUGGUGAAUAUUAUAAUCUGGCUUGGAGUAGGAGGCAUCUGGUGGAAGGCUAUUGGCUUGUGGUAAGGCAGAAUGUCAUAAAAUUUGCUGAUACUGAGCUAUGAAGGAUUUCUCACCUAACUUGAAGUUUACAGUUUCUUCUUCACAUCGGAAACUGAUUUGUCUUUGAUUCUUUACGUUGCAGAAAUAAUCUUUAUAGUGGGGUGGGGUUUAGAGGGUUGGAAAAAGAAGAAAGAUUUGAGUUUGAGGUGGAGGUGGAGGUGUUAGAGCAGAACUUAGAUCUUUACCACAAAUUUUGACAAAUGGAAAAUACAUUAUUAUUUUGAAUACAUAUUAGUAAUUACAAACACAGAUUUGCUGCUUGAUAACA